UUUUUCAACUUUUGUGCGCCCAUGUUGGAUUGUCGUCUGGCUCCAAAACCUGAGAGCAAUUCUGCAAUUAUUUUGGUGGAAUUCAAGUUGGAAUGGCACUGUUACAGACAUUACAGGAAGUUUCAGACAAAGAUUGUGAUCACACUGGGAGCAUUCAUAUUUACUCCAACACACACGAAACCCAAGCUCUGGAGCUUCAUGUAGAUAGAGACCAGGUGGUUAGUGCCGUGGGCCUCAUGCCUUCAACGUCAGGCAAUCAGAUGGAGAUUGGAGUACAGGAAUCAGAUGUCAGACAUAUUGGGUUACCGGUUCACUCUGAUGAUGGCAGCAAUAUUGAUCAAUCCUGCAUUGUAGUUGUGCCUGUUGAAAGUGUAGAAGAUGGCCAUGGACAUUGUUUAGAUAAGGGUUUUCAGCUGAGUGCACCUACUGAUGUCCCAGUAUCAGGGAGCUCCAAUUCUAUGGGGAUGACUGGGGUAGAACAACGGAAAGAGCCAGAAACACCUUAUGAUCCUGUGACUCAAUCAUGGUUUACCACAAAAUAUUCCAAAGACUCACUGUCAGAACGAGGUCAUAAAUGGAAGCAAGGAAUGUGGUCAAAUGAUGAAAUUGAGCUCCUUGAAAGGAACAUUGAGGAGUAUGUCAGAGACCAUAAUCUAAAGGAUGCCACUGAGGUCAUUUUUAAUAAUAGCAAGGACAACAGGAAGAAUUUUUAUCGCAGCAUAGCCCAAGGGUUGCAGCGACCCCUCUUUGCUGUUUACCGACGGGUCAUUCGGAUGUAUGAUCAGAAAAAUCAUGUUGGAAGGUACACUCCAGAAGAUAUUGUAAAACUGAAAGAGCUAAGAGCCAAGUAUGGGAAUGACUGGGCUUCCAUUGGAGCUGAGAUGGGUCGAAGUGCUUCUUCAGUUAAAGAUAAAUUCAGACUUCUCAAAGAUUCUUGCAAUAGAGGUAAAUGGACAGCUAGCGAAGAGAAACUGUUGUCUAGUGCUGUAUUUGCCCUAUCUGGAGCUGAACCUGGUGAGAGUGUGACAACUGGUAUCUCUUGGUCCCAGGUAGCUGAUAAAGUCGGAACUAGAACAGAGAAACAGUGCAGGGCUAAGUGGCUGAACUACCUCAACUGGAAACAAAAAGGAGGCUCAAAAUGGACACUAAUGGAUGAGCUUACAUUGAUCAAUAGGGUUGAUGAAACAGGAGUUGAAGUAGACACCGAUAUAGAUUGGGAGAAUAUUGCUAAGAACUGGGAGAGUGUGAGGUCACCUCAGUGGCUUCGAUCAAAAUGGUGGAAUCUGAAGAGGCAGGUUAUUGAUACAGAUUUUAAAACGUUAAUCCAGCACCUGAGAUUAUUCAACGAUAGACGCAGAUUCCAAGAAGAGAAACGUAAGGGGGUUAUUCCGCCUCUAAAACCGGAAAAGAAUCAAACCAAGAAUGGAACCUUAAUGGUACAAGUCCCUAUUCAACUUGGAUCAUCUUCAGGUGAUGGAAUGGAUGAUGGCUCAGGACUUCAACCAUUAAUACUACGUCAAUCAGCCCUUGCCCAUUUACCAGGUACAAGUUCUCUCUUUAUGAGUGAGGGUAUGACUACCGUACACUCUGAUAAUCAUAUCAUCAUACAAGUCACUGGUGUACAGGGGCAUGACGGAGAGGUUGAAGGAACAGAUGGAAACACAAGGCAGAUCAUUAUCACAGCACGACAGCCUCGGCAAACAGUGCCCUCUCUAGGUCAAGAUAUUUCAACUGACAUACACCAAACAAGUACAGGUAAGCUUGGUGUAUUAUGUCCAUGUCAAUGUUAGGAGAUUGAUAAACCAAGAGAGAAAACUUAUCAAAUUGCAAUUAAGCAUUUUGUUAAGCAAUAUGAAAUAGAAAUAGGUGGCAAUUUCUCAUGCAAGGUGAAUUUUGAUUGUACUUUGUAAUAUUUUAAACCAAAUUGUCCUUGCUCAUAACUUUAUUUUAUCACAGGUGAUACCAGUAUGUGUAUUAUGAAGUAAAAUGAUAUUCAGAAAUCUAUUAAUAAAAAAAAUAAGCCCGCAAGUUUAGAUAGAGUAUGCAAAACUGAUGGGAUAAAAUCUAUUUUUAUUGAGAAAAUAACUUUUCAUGAUAAAAAUGUUAUACAAUGCCUGUUGAAAAGCAAUUUUCAAACUUUCCCCAUAUUUCAUACAAAUCUGUAUCUAUACCCCAACAAGGGGACCACAUUUUAUAUUUUUGCUCCAAUAACUUUUGAUGCAAUACUUCUCAAAAUUUAUGAAAUACAUCUGGAGUAUAAGAAAAGUUCUUCUGCACAUACUGUGCUCGUUUUUAUUACAUCAGUAUUUUUCGUUAUAGAUUAAGAAAAAUAAAAAUGUAUUUCUGAAAUCCUUGGAAUUGCAACAUGUUUGAAACAUGAAAAUUGUUUGCUUGCACAAAUUCUACUCUAUUGGUAUUGAUAUAUGUAAAUAAAAGCCCAUGGAAUGGGAUCAUAUAUUUUAAAGCCAGGAGGCACUCUCUUGCAGGUUAUAUUUGGAAUUGAAUAGCUCCCCCUGUUGUUAAGCUGCAUAAAAUCAGUGAUUUUCCUAAUCAAGAUGUUUUUCAUGUGUACAUGUAUGUGUUUGUUUGUGUAAUGUCGAUUCAAGUAGAUAAUUGUUUUGAAAAACAGGAAGAAUUGCUUAUUAUCGCCCCCUCCCCUUUUUUGGUAUUAAAGCUGCACUGUGUAGUAAGGGAAAAGUAUAAACAGAGCCAAUCUGACCUUUGCAGUAGAUUAAGCGUCUUUUCUGGAGUUUUUCCCCCAAAUACAAUUACAUUUAUAUGCUUUGUAUUUCAGUAAAAAAAAGAAGAGGUUUUGACAAAAUAUAUGAGAGCUCAUCAGCAGUGUCAUCAUUUGAUCAUUAAAUGGACAUAGUUAUGUCUUUAAAAUCAAAGGAAGCGAUAAUGUUUUUCUUCAGUACCUUUUUAACAAAAUUAAUUUCCAUGGCUUUGCUGCAUGCUGGAUUUGAUAGGGGAUUUCCCAGGUCCCAUAUUCUUUUGUCAAUCCAGAAAUAAGUAGAUUCUAAUGAAGACACACCACCUUAAAGCCAGUGUUAAAUUUAGCACAGACUUUGUGAAGGUACCUUCCAUUUUUUUUUCAUUUAUUAUGAAAUGACUUCUUCACUAGAUACCCGAGAGUGAAACACAUUUAGUCAUUUCUGCAAGAUCUGUGGACUCAUCAAAAAUCACAUGGCCAUAUCUAAUUUAAGACCUAGACAUCGCAUGUCACUGUCAUACCGAUAAAAAUAUUGCUUAAGGUUUUAUAUUCAAUAUUGUGUAGGAGAUAUUGAUCUUUUCAGCUGCAUGUGAUUUAAAUCAUGACACAACCACAUUCUGUGACUACAUUGUUUGAGUAGAAUCCUGUGGGGGUGUGAUUAUCAUUAGUCGACUUCCAUAAUAAUGCAAAGGAUGGCAAAGAAUGAGUGUGCAGUCCUACUUGGAUUUCCUCAUAUUGCUUCAGAUUGAGCUACUUAAAUGCAAAGUGAUGGAUGAAAACUUGUGAGUCAGAAGCUACUGUGUGGAUGUGGGAGCAGGAGACUAUUGCUGAUUGUCAACAUCAUCUUUUACCCCCUUUAUUUACAAAUUGGGAGUCAUUAAAUCAAGAACAUUCCAACAAACUAACUUUGCUACUGAGAUUACCAGAUCAAAAACUCUUUAUGGAAACCUUGAUCUUUGAUUUGCUGUUUAGCCUCAUACCUAUGGUAGAAAUAGGCCUGUGGUAUGGUAGUAAUAGGCCAUUAGGCUUAUGGCAAAUUUACUGUAAGUUCAUGUAUAAGAAUUUUUCUUAUUGAAGAGGCUUUUCUUCUGAUUUAACCUUGAUUAGAUCAUAUUUGCAAAAUCUUGUUUGGGUUCGUUGGUGUUAUUGACAUGACAAGAAUAACGGUAACUUUUUCUUUUGUAGAGGAGUAGAGAUAAUUCUUGGUUAUAAACAACUCAUCUUAAUUUUGAUUUUACAACUAUUUUGUAAAAUCAAGAACAAUAUAUCUGCAAAUGUUCAGUCAAGUUGUCCUUAUUUGGUUCCAGGAGAACACUGCCAUUUCACACCAGUGUACAUCUAGACUACUUUUAUGAACCUUCCUGAAUUGGUUAGGUCAUUUGAAUUGGUAUAUAAUUUAUGAUUCACAUUUCAUUCACAAGAGAGAAGAAUGGCAUUGUAAAUAUUCAUUGAUUGAAAAUAAUUCAUCUAAUAGGGUCCAUGUACAUUAUGUGAUUAAAUUAUCCAAGAUAAGAUAAAAUGCUGAUAAAAUCUUUUAUUUUCUAAAUUUGUGGGUGGGGAGGGGAGGAGUGGGUAGAGAGAGAGAGAGGGGGGGGGAGGCAUGGAGGUAGGGAGGGAGGU